GGUGUUGACCUUAGUGAGGUGAAAAGCCAUUGGAGGGUUUUGCACAGUUGGCAUCCAGUUGGCAUUAAAGACAUAAAGUUACUUGAAUAACCCGAAAAUGAGGGUAUAGCAUAGCAAAGAGGUCUGAGGUCUGGGGCACUCCAACUUUUAGAAGUCAGAGGGUGAAGUUCCUACCAAAGGAGACUAAGAAAGAGAAGGAAUGAUGUGAGAGAAACAGCAAAAGACACAGAUAUGCCAAAAUACAACCAAGAAAAGUGCUUCAGGGAGGAAAUAGUUGAAAUGUUUCCAAAUAUUUUGAUGGUUCAACUAAGAAGUCUGCAAAUAGAGAAUGUAAUGUGGCAAGGUAGAAGUGGAGUGGGUGGCUUUCCCAAGAACCGUUUGAAUGGAGUGUGAAAAUAAGACCCUUAAAAUGAGGUGGUAUGUGUGUAGAGGUUGAAGAGCAUGUAGAAGAGGAAUCAGAAUGGCUGAAUAGUGGUUUGGGGGCAGUGUGGUUUGUUCUAAAGGGAAGCAGAGGAAUGAGGAGAUAGUGAAGGGAAAUGUGGCUUCAAAGGAAGGAUCUUUUUAAGAAAGAAACAAUCACUGCUGUUUGUAUUUAAAUGUUUCCAUAGCUCCAAUAAUUAUCAAAGAGAAAGAGAGAAAAAAUGGUGAUACAAGAAAUAGAAGAGACAAUUGUUGGAUCAAUAUUCUUAAGAGGGCAUUAAGGGAUGGGAGCUAAUGUACAAGUAGAAGUUUGCUUUAUGUAAUAACAAAGGCAGUUCAUCCACAGUGUAUGCUUAGGGGUCCCUAGAGAGAAAAAAAAAUGGGCUGAUUCAAAAUACAAACAGUUAAGGAGGGUUUCUUUAUAUGAGUGAAAGUAUAGGGAAAUGAUAUUUUUUAAAUGCCUAAGCUGUUACCAAUCCUGAAGCCAAAGUGACAAAAAGAAGAAGGGGAAGACAGGGAAUGCUGUCAAGACAGCUGCCUAACAGAGAGGUGAUCUAUCCAUCAAUAGAUAGGAUCUCGCUGAUGCCCUGGAUACUGCCACAAGGGAUUCGCGUGGGCUGGAGUGCAGUAGCACCAUCACAGCUCACUGCAGCUGCAGGAUCACAGUUCAUUGCCCCUUCAACUUCCUGGCCUCAAGCCAUCCUUCUGCCUUGGCCUCCUGAGUAGCUUGGACUACUGGUGCUAGCCACCAUGCCCAGGAGGAUGAAAUUUAACCACAUCAAAGAAACCUACAGCUCUGAUACUCUCAGAAAAAAUAAGACUCAACACAAAGAGAGUAAAAAGAGUUAUUCUGUCAACGAAGGGUCUUGACCGAAUAAUGUAUACAUCAGAUCUUUUCAUCUUGCACUUCUUGGACACUGUGAUUCAAAAGGGAGAUUAUUUGUGUCAGUAAAGAAGUAUCCAUAAUGAUAAAACACAAGUACUUCAAAGAACAACCUGUGCUUCUCAAAAGGAAAAUAGUUUGGAUCCAUUUACUUUUCUCCUCUACUUCACAUUCUAAAUGACUGAGAAAAUGUCUUCUCGUUUUCAAUACAACCCAUGGGAAAUCAUACUCAAAUAAGUAGUAACUGAAUGAACUAAUCUGGAAAAGUGGUCCUCAAUUUGUUUCUGUAAUAUCAGCUAUCACAAUACUGCCUUGAUAUUUCAUACAAUUCUGCAGAGUAUAAAAAAGCAAAAGCCUCUAAAAGUUGGUACUAGAAUGUACUACACGCUCAAUAUAGACCACAAAAUGGAUCAGACAUGAAGCUUAGUAUUGUCUGUGUGCACAGUGUUUAAAUAUUCCCUUGUUUUAAAAGUGCCAGUGUUUGUUAAGUAACUUAAAAUAUUUGCCACAUGUAGCUUAUUUUUUUUACUUUUUAUUAUAUUUUUGUCAUAGGUAAAAAAGUGAA
rnacentral:lncRNA from 1 species